rnacentral:tRNA from 1 species
GCCCUGAUAGCGUAAUGGCUAACGCGUCUGCCUUCUAAGCAGAAGAUUGCGGGUUCGAGUCCCGCUCAGGGUGCUA